CAGCACAAUAUGCCGCACAUCCUUUUUCUUUAUGAUUUUUUUGCCGUCCACUCACACAGACUGCAUCGACAACGUUUAGCCUAAUAACUCAGCGUCCCGCUAGGCACGCACCUCACGAGGGGCUCAUCGCAUUUAUUAAAGAAUUCCCGGAUCACGAUAUUCCAGUGGAUGAGCCUAACGGCGACACAGUUGUAAUGCAUCGCACCUGAGAACAGACCUAAGAAUGGUUUGAAGCCAAUUUGCUUCAUUUUAAUGAGUCUUCAGUACAUUCAGCAUGACUGUUUUAAAACAGUUGGUGUUUAGCUCUGACAUCUGUAACCAAUACCGUAAAUCAGGGGUCACCAAUGCGGUGCCCGCGGGCGAAUGGUAGCCCGCGAGGACCGUAUAAGGAGCCCGGGAGGUAUGUUCCAAAAAUACCAUAGGGCACCAAUUGUUACUAUUAUUUGUGCUUCAAAUUCUGAAUCUGACUUGCUUAUGUUAAAAACCUGUAAUGUCAUUUACUACAAUAAAUUAAAACAAAAAUAUUUUAUCUUCGUGUAAUGAACUGAGUCUGACAUUUGCCACAAACAGGUCACGUAGCCCCUCAUACGAUCGGUGCUCAUGAAGUAGACCUCAGCCUCAAAAAGGUUGCUGAGCCCCGCUGUACAUUGUUCAAUAUGAAACUUGAAUUAGUCAUUAGUCACUGCCAGCAACCCCCUCCCCCAACCACCAGUUAACAUUGACUUCUUAAAGCGCCAGUGACAGUGAUAAAUAUACUAUUUGUUAACCCUUAUAAAUGCUGUGUUUUAGCAAGCACGUUGAAGCAUGGCGAACAGCUGUGAAUUUGCAAAAUGUGUGAUCUAGCCGGUUUCAUCUGGUUCAGAUAAAGCUGCAACAGCCCCAAGGCGAGUGUGCGCUGGGGUCAAAGUGCAGCUGAGUCGAGUGUACCUCUUCGAGUUGACUCCAGCACAGCGUCAACAUUCACACAACCAGCAGCACUAUGAAGUUGCGUGGAAAGGAGACGUUUUUCUUUCUUUCGGCUGUGUUGUUAGUUUGUGCUGCAUCGGAACGUGACGCACCUAUAGUCCACAUAGAGCUUGGCAGUCUGAAAGGGGAGUAUGUGAACGUAAAAGGGAAGGAGACUGGGGUUGACGCCUACUUGGGCGUCCCAUUUGCCAAGCCACCCGUUGGCCCUGGACUGAGACUGGCUCGACCCCAGCAAGUCGAGCCUUGGCAAGGAGUGAGAGACGCCACCAAGCAGCCACCGAUGUGCAUUCAACAUAGGCAGGUCCUUUUAGAUGUCUUGAAGGCGUUAGGUGGCACAGCAGAAGAAAUCCCUGAUGUGUCAGAGGACUGCCUUUAUCUCAAUAUUUAUACUCCUGCAAACAGAGCUCAUGAUGCUAAGCUCCCAGUAAUGGUGUGGAUCCAUGGUGGAGGCUUCACUAUGGGAUCAGCUUCAAUGUAUGAAGGAUCCGCCCUGGCUGCUUACCAGGAUGUGGUUGUGGUGCUCAUCCAAUAUCGUUUGGGAGUUUUGGGCUUUCUCAGCACAGGCAAUGAGCAUGUGCCUGGUAACUUUGGGCUUCUGGACCAGGUUGAAGCUCUCCGGUGGAUCCAAAAGCACAUUGCCAACUUCGGGGGGGACCCAGCCUUGGUCACCAUAUUUGGAGAAUCUGCUGGCGGUGUCAGCGUUUCCCUGUUGAUCUUAUCACCAUUGUCUGAUGGCCUGAUCCAUCGAGCCAUUGCUGAAAGUGGCACUGCUGCAAUGGAUGUGUUGAUAUCAAAGGAUCCUCUGCCAUUAGCACAGGUUGUUGCUAAUGCAUCCGGCUGUAGCAUUGAAAGCACACAGACAAUUGCUGCGUGCUUGAGAACAAUUGAUAUUGGCCCUUUUUUGACUUUUGCACAGGAUCCAACACUAAGAUUGACCAUAAAUAUCGAUGGACACUUCCUGACAAAACCAGUGAAUGAACUGUUUGAGAAGCAUGAGAUUCCGAAUGUACCGUUCAUGACUGGUGUCAAUGAUCACGAAGGGGGGUGGUUAGUUACUUCUUUCAUGGCUCCUCCAAACUGGACUGAAGGAAUGGACCGGGAGCAAGUUUUAAACUCAAUAUCGGUUUUCAGCCCCAAAGACUCCAUUGCCACAAAUCUGAUGAUAGAAGAAUAUAUUGGGGCUGGGGAAGAUCGUGAGAAAAAUAGAGAUGGUUUUACUGAGUUAUUAGGGGAUAUGUUGUUCAACAUACCUGCCAUUAAAGCUGCAAAUGCUCACAGAGGUAUUAUGCAGGUGCCCAUGUGUACUUGUAUGAGUACCAGCAUCCGCCUCAUUUCUUGAAGGGAACAAGGCCAAGCUUUGUUAGGUGUGACCAUGGAGACGAACUCUUUUCUGUUUUAGGGUUUUGCUUUACAACGAAGCAUAUCCGACUAAAUGCUACAUGCUUUGAGGAAGAAGAAAAACUUAGUCAAAGGAUGAUGGCCUACUGGGGAAACUUUGCACGAAAAGG